GGAGAGAUGGCUGAGUGGACGAAGGCGCACGACUGGAAAUCGUGUGUACGUUUAUAGCGUACCGAGGGUUCGAAUCCCUCUCUCUCCGCCA
rnacentral:tRNA from 1 species